rnacentral:rRNA from 1 species
UACAGAGGUCCCGAGCGUUGUUCGGAUUCAUUGGGCGUAAAGGGUGCGUAGGCGGCGGAGCAAGUCUGAUGUGAAAUCCCGGGGCUCAACCCCGGAACUGCAUUGGAUACUGCCGUGCUUGAGGACUGGAGAGGAGACUGGAAUUUACGGUGUAGCGGUGAAAUGCGUAGAUAUCGUAAGGAAGACCAGUGGCGAAGGCGGGUCUCUGGACAGUUCCUGACGCUGAGGCACGAAGGUCAGGGGAGCAAACGGG